ACACGCGUGGGAGACCCAACUUCCACGGGGGUUGCGCUUUGUGGCUGGUGGUGCCCCGCGGAGGAGGCGGCGACCGGGCACUUUGUUCCCAUUUUCAUGUUUAUUUGCGUCUCUUCCUUCCCCCCCCAACCACACACACACACACGCACACCCCGCCCCCGAGGGGAAGCCAGACAAAAGAGCCUGGUGAAUUACUGUGUGUAUUUUCUUUUUAUAAUUUUUAUUAUUAUUAUUAUUAUUAUCAUUUUUUUAUAUGGUUUCACCCACGACACGUCCUCAGAGCCUUUUGUUCGUGCCGGGCUCUGUCCCCUCGCAGCCUGCCGGCUGCUCUGCAUGGCCAUUUAUUUCCCGAAGGGAAGCUCUCCAUUCCCGUUCCUAGGCUCGCUGCCCUUCCCUCCAGCCUAGAGGGAGUUCGGCUCCAAGACAAUCGCUUUUUUUUUCCUCCUCUCUCCAAAUCUAAUUAACUUUCUUAUAAGUUUCAUCUUUUGGCUUUCUCUCCCUUUCCAAAGGUCUGAGGCACAUCUGUGGUUCCUCAGGACUGGCAAAACCAGAAGUAGGGCUUUUUUAGUUUGGUUGGCAGCGCUGAGUUUUUUUUUUCUUCCCCAUUUGCUUGCACUUGAUUCUGUUUGCAAGCGAUGAGGAAUGACAGGAGUGCACAUAGGGAGGGUUUCUUGGCUGAUUACAUUUAAGCCAGGAAUUCACUGUGAAAAUAAAGCCAAGGGGCGAUAAAUAAAAGAUGCAAUCUUCCCUAGGAGACAGACACCCAGCGUGGGCUUUGCCUCGCUCGCUUUCAGCGGUGGAAUAGGCCUCAGUCAGUAGUUGUGAAAGGAAAAAGUAACUUUUUGUAUGGCUCCUAAAGGGGAGGGGCAUUGAGUAAUGUUGGCAAGGGUCAACAUGAAGAAAGAAAAUAUGCAUAAAUACAACUGAAGUGUUGACUGCUGCUUCUGGAGCCCUUACACGCAUUCCACACAAAUGCUGAAAAUACAUAUAUUUUCUCUCCUUUCCCAACCAAAGCCUCCUUUGGAAAGCCGUGGAAAAAAACAGUGGUGGAAGCCAUCGACAGCGAACACGCCGGCUCUUCCCAUGGCUUGGGUGGCCGGGCUGCUGGAGGGCACCGCUGGCACGGGUCUCCUCCAGAGCAGGGAGCAACUUGUUUCAAGCAAUAGAAUUUCAAAAUCCUGGUGUCUACAUGCUGCUGGAAGUCUUCACGUGCGUCUGCUUCGUGGCCCCAAUUCGUCUCACACGUGUAGUGCGGAGAAUAAAAGGGAGUUGACGCGUUGGUGAUAUGCACAACCCGUGUUCUUAUUAAUCAGGUGUAUGAGCUGCAAGGUGGUGAUUGCGUUUGAAACCAGGAGAAGCCAUUUUUAACCAGGAAGAGAAGCUUUACAAGACCCUCCUGGUAACUGCUCUCUGCAAUUCUGGCUGAAUGGGAUAUACAUGUAUUGUAAUCGGCAACUUUCAGGUCCUUUUAGUGGAUGAUGAUUCCCGUUAAUCAGUUUUGUCCUUCAUGGCCAUCUUUGCCCAAAACAACAUGGAACUGUAGAGCACGUAAAACAAGUGUAAUUUCUCUUCUCUGAGGGUUUAAUUGUUUGAGUGCCAGCAGUAUAAUGUGAAACACCUUUCUGUUGAUUAAAAACCACACCAGGGAUGUUACUAGCGAAGCUGGAAAUGCACCAUGUAGCAGACGUGAUGAUCUUCGACGAUACUUACAAUAUAUAUCUAUUUGUUGAUGAAUCUUGUAGGACACGUGGUUUUAGUGAAAAGAAAAAAAAUAAUUGCAAGUAAUAUUAAAUGAUGUGACAAAACUAA